rnacentral:rRNA from 1 species
AAUCUGGGGUCCCCGACCUCCGAGUUGUAAUUUGGAGAGGCAUCUUCGGGGGGGAGCGCCGGCCCAUGUUCCUUGGAACAGGACGUCAGAGAGGGUGAGAAUCCCGUGCCAGGCCGGCUCCCUCCUCCCGGGUGAAGCGCCUUCGACGAGUCGAGUUGUUUGGGAAUGCAGCUCCAAGUGGGUGGUAAGUUUCAUCUAAAGCUAAAUACCGGCGGGAGACCGAUAGCGCACAAGUAGAGUGAUCGAAAGAUGAAAAGCACUUUGAAAAUAGAGUCAAAAAGUACGUGAAAUUGUUGAAAGGGAAGCGCUUGAGACCAGACUCAGGCCCGGGCAAACACCGAGCCCCCUGGGGCCGUGCAAUUGCCUGGGGCUGGGCCAGCAUCAGUCGGCGUGGCGGGACAAAGUCGUGGGGAAUGUGGCUCCCCUCGGGGAGUGUUACCAGCCCCGCGCUCAAUGCCGCCGACGUCGACUGAGGACCGCGCCUCGGCUAGGAUGCUGGCUUAAUGGCCUUCAGCGACCCGUCUUGAAACACGGACCAAGGAGUCUAACAUCUAUGCGAGUGUUUGGGCGUCAAACCCUUGCGCGGAAUGAAAGUGAGCGGAGGUGGGAACCCCCCCAGCGGGGCGCACCAUCGACCGAUCCUGAUGUCUUCGGAUGGAUUUGAGUA